rnacentral:rRNA from 1 species
AGAGUUUGAUCCUGGCUCAGGACGAACGCUGGCGGCGUGCCUAAAACAUGCAAGUCGAACGAGGGAGCAAUCCCUAGUGGCGAACGGCGGAGUAAUACAUGGACAACGUGCCCUAAAGUCCGGGACAAACGCAGAAAUGCCAUAAAUACCGGAUGUGGUCCAGACCUGGCAUCAGGAUUGGAUUAAACGGUUUUUCGCUUUAGGAGCGGUUCAUGGCCUAUCAGGUAGUUGGUGGGGUAAUGGCCUACCAAGCCGACGACAGGUAGCGGGUCUGAGAGGAUGAUCCGCUCGAGUGGGACUGAGACACGGCCCACACACCUACGGGUGGCAGCAGUUGGGAAUCUUGCACAAUGGGGGAAACCCUGAUGCAGCGACGCCGCGUGGAGGAUGACGGAUCUAGGUCUGUAAACUCCUUUUUCAUGGAAAGACUUAGGACGGUACCAUGAGA